GGGUUGUGAGGUUAAGCGACUAAGCGUACACGGUGGAUGCCCUGGCAGUCAGAGGCGAUGAAGGACGUGCUAAUCUGCGAUAAGCGUCGGUAAGGUGAUAUGAACCGUUAUAACCGGCGAUUUCCGAAUGGGGAAACCCAGUGUGUUUCGACACACUAUCAUUAACUGAAUCCAUAGGUUAAUGAGGCGAACCGGGGGAACUGAAACAUCUAAGUACCCCGAGGAAAAGAAAUCAACCGAGAUUCCCCCAGUAGCGGCGAGCGAACGGGGAGCAGCCCAGAGCCUGAAUCAGUGUGUGUGUUAGUGGAAGCGUCUGGAAAGGCGCGCGAUACAGGGUGACAGCCCCGUACACAAAAAUGCACAUACUGUGAGCUCGAUGAGUAGGGCGGGACACGUGGUAUCCUGUCUGAAUAUGGGGGGACCAUCCUCCAAGGCUAAAUACUCCUGACUGACCGAUAGUGAACCAGUACCGUGAGGGAAAGGCGAAAAGAACCCCGGCGAGGGGAGUGAAAAAGAACCUGAAACCGUGUACGUACAAGCAGUGGGAGCACGCUUCGGCGUGUGACUGCGUACCUUUUGUAUAAUGGGUCAGCGACUUAUAUUCUGUAGCAAGGUUAACCGAAUAGGGGAGCCGAAGGGAAACCGAGUCUUAACUGGGCGUUAAGUUGCAGGGUAUAGACCCGAAACCCGGUGAUCUAGCCAUGGGCAGGUUGAAGGUUGGGUAACACUAACUGGAGGACCGAACCGACUAAUGUUGAAAAAUUAGCGGAUGACUUGUGGCUGGGGGUGAAAGGCCAAUCAAACCGGGAGAUAGCUGGUUCUCCCCGAAAGCUAUUUAGGUAGCGCCUCGUGAACUCAUCUUCGGGGGUAGAGCACUGUUUCGGCAAGGGGGUCAUCCCGACUUACCAACCCGAUGCAAACUGCGAAUACCGGAGAAUGUUAUCACGGGAGACACACGGCGGGUGCUAACGUCCGUCGUGAAGAGGGAAACAACCCAGACCGCCAGCUAAGGUCCCAAAGUCAUGGUUAAGUGGGAAACGAUGUGGGAAGGCCCAGACAGCCAGGAUGUUGGCUUAGAAGCAGCCAUCAUUUAAAGAAAGCGUAAUAGCUCACUGGUCGAGUCGGCCUGCGCGGAAGAUGUAACGGGGCUAAACCAUGCACCGAAGCUGCGGCAGCGACACUAUGUGUUGUUGGGUAGGGGAGCGUUCUGUAAGCCUGUGAAGGUGUGCUGUGAGGCAUGCUGGAGGUAUCAGAAGUGCGAAUGCUGACAUAAGUAACGAUAAAGCGGGUGAAAAGCCCGCUCGCCGGAAGACCAAGGGUUCCUGUCCAACGUUAAUCGGGGCAGGGUGAGUCGACCCCUAAGGCGAGGCCGAAAGGCGUAGUCGAUGGGAAACAGGUUAAUAUUCCUGUACUUGGUGUUACUGCGAAGGGGGGACGGAGAAGGCUAUGUUGGCCGGGCGACGGUUGUCCCGGUUUAAGCGUGUAGGCUGGUUUUCCAGGCAAAUCCGGAAAAUCAAGGCUGAGGCGUGAUGACGAGGCACUACGGUGCUGAAGCAACAAAUGCCCUGCUUCCAGGAAAAGCCUCUAAGCAUCAGGUAACAUUAAAUCGUACCCCAAACCGACACAGGUGGUCAGGUAGAGAAUACCAAGGCGCUUGAGAGAACUCGGGUGAAGGAACUAGGCAAAAUGGUGCCGUAACUUCGGGAGAAGGCACGCUGAUAUGUAGGUGAAGUCCCUCGCGGAUGGAGCUGAAAUCAGUCGAAGAUACCAGCUGGCUGCAACUGUUUAUUAAAAACACAGCACUGUGCAAACACGAAAGUGGACGUAUACGGUGUGACGCCUGCCCGGUGCCGGAAGGUUAAUUGAUGGGGUUAGCGGUAACGCGAAGCUCUUGAUCGAAGCCCCGGUAAACGGCGGCCGUAACUAUAACGGUCCUAAGGUAGCGAAAUUCCUUGUCGGGUAAGUUCCGACCUGCACGAAUGGCGUAAUGAUGGCCAGGCUGUCUCCACCCGAGACUCAGUGAAAUUGAACUCGCUGUGAAGAUGCAGUGUACCCGCGGCAAGACGGAAAGACCCCGUGAACCUUUACUAUAGCUUGACACUGAACAUUGAGCCUUGAUGUGUAGGAUAGGUGGGAGGCUUUGAAGUGUGGACGCCAGUCUGCAUGGAGCCGACCUUGAAAUACCACCCUUUAAUGUUUGAUGUUCUAACGUUGACCCGUGAUCCGGGUUACGGACAGUGUCUGGUGGGUAGUUUGACUGGGGCGGUCUCCUCCUAAAGAGUAACGGAGGAGCACGAAGGUUGGCUAAUCCUGGUCGGACAUCAGGAGGUUAGUGCAAUGGCAUAAGCCAGCUUGACUGCGAGCGUGACGGCGCGAGCAGGUGCGAAAGCAGGUCAUAGUGAUCCGGUGGUUCUGAAUGGAAGGGCCAUCGCUCAACGGAUAAAAGGUACUCCGGGGAUAACAGGCUGAUACCGCCCAAGAGUUCAUAUCGACGGCGGUGUUUGGCACCUCGAUGUCGGCUCAUCACAUCCUGGGGCUGAAGUAGGUCCCAAGGGUAUGGCUGUUCGCCAUUUAAAGUGGUACGCGAGCUGGGUUUAGAACGUCGUGAGACAGUUCGGUCCCUAUCUGCCGUGGGCGCUGGAGAACUGAGGGGGGCUGCUCCUAGUACGAGAGGACCGGAGUGGACGCAUCACUGGUGUUCGGGUUGUCAUGCCAAUGGCACUGCCCGGUAGCUAAAUGCGGAAGAGAUAAGUGCUGAAAGCAUCUAAGCACGAAACUUGCCCCGAGAUGAGUUCUCCCUGACUCCUUGAGAGUCCUGAAGGAACGUUGAAGACGACGACGUUGAUAGGCCGGGUGUGUAAGCGCAGCGAUGCGUUGAGCUAACCGGUACUAAUGAACCGUGAGGCUUAACCUUACAACGCCGAAGGUGUUU
rnacentral:rRNA from 3 species